CGGCAGCACGGGGGCAACCCUGGUGGCGAGUGGCGAACGGGUGAGUAAUACAUCGGAACGUGUCCUGUAGUGGGGGAUAGCCCGGCGAAAGCCGGAUUAAUACCGCAUACGAUCUACGGAAGAAAGCGGGGGAUCUUCGGACCUCGCGCUAUAGGGGCGGCCGAUGGCAGAUUAGCUAGUUGGUGGGGUAAAGGCCUACCAAGGCGACGAUCUGUAGCUGGUCUGAGAGGACGACCAGCCACACUGGGACUGAGACACGGCCCAGACUCCUACGGGAGGCAGCAGUGGGGAAUUUUGGACAAUGGGGGCAACCCUGAUCCAGCAAUGCCGCGUGUGUGAAGAAGGCCUUCGGGUUGUAAAGCACUUUUGUCCGGAAAGAAAACCUCUUGGUUAAUACCUGAGGGGGAUGACGGUACCGGAAGAAUAAGCACCGGCUAACUACGUGCCAGCAGCCGCGGUAAUACGUAGGUGCGAGCGUUAAUCGGAAUUACUGGGCGUAAGCGUGCGCAGGCGGUCUGUUAAGACCGAUGUGAAAUCCCCGGGCUUAACCUGGGAACUGCAUUGGUGACUGGCAGCUUGAGUGUGGCAAGAGGUAGAAUUCCACGUGUAGCAUGAUGCGUAAGAUGU
rnacentral:rRNA from 1 species